rnacentral:misc_RNA from 1 species
CUUUUCCCAAGUGCAGAUUUUACGUAUCGCAAGAUGCGAAAAACAGCUUCUAAAGGAGAUUCACAAGAGUCAUGCAUAUACUAGUUCACUAGAUCCACUGCAUAUGCUAUGUCUGGUCUAGUGUGCAAAGGUUAAAUUAGUCUGCUAACGAACCUCUGAUAUCUCCCUAAUUUCACUGAUUCCCCGAUUCCAGCUUGCAAUUUAUAAUUUGCCUCAAUGGGAGACUAUACUGGUUUAUAGCCCAGCAUUCUUGUUUCCUCCAACAGA